ACAAGGUUGGCAGAAAUAAUGCAAAUAAUUUAGGUUUAUUUUAUAAGAUGUAAGUCUUACUUUGUA
rnacentral:tRNA from 1 species